rnacentral:rRNA from 1 species
GACGAACGCUGGCGGCGUGCUUAACACAUGCAAGUCGAACGGAAAGGCCCCUUUGGGGGUCCUCGAGUGGCGAACGGGUGCGUAACACGUGCGUAACCUGCCCUUGACUUCGGGAUAACUUCAGGAAACUGGGGCUAAUACCGGUUAGGAAUCCUUGCUGCAUGGUGGGGGUUGGAAAGCUUCGGCGGUUUUGGAUGGACUCGCGGCUUAUCAGCUUGUUGGUGGGGUAGUGGCUUACCAAGGCUUUGACGGGUAGCCGGCCUGCGAGGGCGACCGGCCACAUUGGGACUGAGAGACGGCCCAGACUCCGACGGGAGGCAGCAGUGGGGAAGAUUGCACAAGGGGCGGAAGCCGGAUGCAGCAACGCCGCGGGCGGGAUGACGGCCUUCGGGUUGUAAACCGCUUUCAGCAGGGGCGAAGCUUGUGGUGACGGUACCUGCAGAAGAAGCACCGGCUAACUACGUG